UGGCGGUUUAGCUCAGCGGUAGAGCACUGGAAUCAUAAUCCAUUGGUCCGGGGUUCAAAUCCCUGAACCGCUAUUAC
rnacentral:tRNA from 1 species